rnacentral:rRNA from 1 species
UUAGAGUUUGAUCCUGGCUCAGGAUGAACGCUGGCGGCGUGCCUAAUACAUGCAAGUCGAACGCUUCACUUCGGUGAAGAGUGGCGAACGGGUGAGUAAUACAUAAGUAACCUGGCAUCUACAGGGGGAUAACUGAUGGAAACGUCAGCUAAGACCGCAUAGGUGUAGAGAUCGCAUGAACUCUAUAUGUAAAGUGCUACGGGACUGGUAGAUGAUGGACUUAUGGCGCAUUAGCUGGUUGGUAGGGUAACGGCCUACCAAGGCGACGAUGCGUAGCCGACCUGAGAGGGUGACCGGCCACACUGGGACUGAGACACGGCCCAGACUCCUACGGGAGGCAGCAGUAGGGAAUUUUCGGCAAUGGGGGAAACCCUGACCGAGCAACGCCGCGUGAAGGAAGAAGUAAUUCGUUAUGUAAACUUCUGUCAUAGAGGAAGAACGGUGGAUAUAGGGAAUGAUAUCCAAGUGACGGUACUCUAUAAGAAAGCCACGGCUAACUACGUGCCAGCAGCCGCGGUAAUACGCAGGUGGCGAGCGUUAUCCGGAAUUAUUGGGCGUAAAGAGGGAGCAGGCGGCACUAAGGGUCUGUGGUGAAAGAUCGAAGCUUAACUUCGGUAAGCCAUGGAAACCGUAGAGCUAGAGUGUGUGAGAGGAUCGUGGAAUUCCAUGUGUAGCGGUGAAAUGCGUAGAUAUAUGGAGGAACACCAGUGGCGAAGGCGACGAUCUGGCGCAUAACUGACGCUCAGUCCCGAAAGCGUGGGGAGCAAAUAGGAUUAGAUACCCUAGUAGUCCACGCCGUAAACGA